UACAGAGGUCUCAAGCGUUGUUCGGAUUCAUUGGGCGUAAGGGUGCGUAGGCGGCGGGGCAAGUCGGAUGUGAAAUCUCAGGGCUCAACCCUGAAACUGCAUUCGAUACUGCCUUGCUCGAGGACUGGAGAGGAGAUUGGAAUUCACGGUGUAGCAGUGAAAUGCGUAGAUAUCGUGAGGAAGACCAGUGGCGAAGGCGGAUCUCUGGACAGUUCCUGACGCUGAGGCACGAAGGCCAGGGGAGCAAACGGG
rnacentral:rRNA from 1 species